rnacentral:rRNA from 1 species
UCUACCUUUUUGUGGGGGAUAACGUAGGGAAACUUACGCUAAUACCGCAUACGAGCGUGCAUCGACAGGUGCGCACUGAAAGCCGGGGACCUUCGGGCCUGGCGCAGAUAGAUGAGCCGAUGUCCGAUUAGCUAGUUGGCGGGGUAAUGGCCCACCAAGGCGACGAUCGGUAGCUGGUCUGAGAGGACGACCAGCCACACUGGAACUGAGACACGGUCCAG